UACGGUAUGCAGCAAGGUUAAGCACCUAAGGUGCGGAGCCGAAGGGAAACCAAGUCUGAAUAGGGCGACUAGUUGCAUGCUGUAGACCCGAAACCGAGUGACCUAUCCAUGGACAGGGUGAAGCGGAAGUAAAAUUCCGUGGAGGCCCGAACACAUUGGUGUUGAAAAACCAUGGGAUGAGCUGUGGAUAGGGGAGAAAUUCCAAUCGAACUCGGAUAUAGCUGG
rnacentral:ncRNA from 1 species